UCUCAAAAGAAAACGAACUCUUCUCAAAUAUUCUCUCUCUAAAACUUGAAGAAGCAGAAGAAGAUUUCACAUAGAGUUUCAAGAUAAGGAUAAAAAAAUUUCAUUGAAGCUUAUCAUUUGGGAUUUGUUAUUAAGGGUCCGGCGGAAAGGGUUUUCAGUCUAGUGGCUAGAGCUUGUACUUUGGUUUAUAUUUGAGCUAGGGUUCUGGUGUCUAUCCCUUCACAUUUUUGGAGCUGGUUAUCUUGUCCGUGAAGUAAUUUUCUUGAGGCCCCCAUUGGUAGAGACUCGACUGCAUUUGCAACGGUCAAGCUAUUGAACUCCACAUUUGUGGUAGAUCUUUAGUGUUCGUAGAAGGACAUGGCAUUAGAUCUCGUUGUCAGAAGUUUGGGUACGUAUUCUUGAAGGACCCCUGACAGUGUUUUGAUCUAAAUUCAGGGUUUCUUCUCCAUUUGUCCUUUUUGGAUCUUUGAGAACUUGGUGGAGUAGAUUUCAAGAGGGGUUUUCAAGAUUAAAAUAGUUAGUACUUGUGUAGGUUUCAAGCCCAGACUAGUGUGAUCUCCACUUUCUAGUUCUUCUUCUUUUGAGGUGUGUCAAUGAUUUUGAGAGGUAGCUACUUGUUAUUGCAGAGGGUCCUCUUGUUACUUUACUGUACAUUUUGUUCUACUUAAUAAACAAAAACGUUGGAAAUCGUAUUUAUCUUU